rnacentral:ncRNA from 2 species
GCGCGGGCAUUCGAUCCAGGUGCCCUGCGCUGCAACCGCAAACCAGGGUGAAACGGGAAGUUCGGUGACGCCGUCUGCAAUGCGCAAACGGCCAUUCCGACGCAGCCCCCGCUGCUGUAAUCCUGACGGAUCCGCACUACGCCACUGGGCAUUGCCCGGGAAGGCUGCGGAAUCCGCUUGAAGGAGAGCCAGAAGACCGGCCUGGUCGAUUGAAGGUCA